UGUAGGUCCACACCUGGGAUCCAAACCAGCAAACUCAGGGUCACCGAAGCGGAGUGCACAAACUGAACCACUGCACUGCUGGGGGGGCCCCUAUCUUUGGUUUCUACCAGUUUGACUAUUAUAUGCUUACACAUGGAUUCCUUUGCCCUCCCCAAGGUUCUCUGAGUUUCCUGAAUCUGUGGAUGAGGAAUGUAGUCUAGCAAUAGGCCUAUGACGAAAAGGAACAAGGGGCUGCACUGCUUUUAUGGUGAAAUGCGUUUGUUGGAAAAAAGCAGUGCUGUGUGGGAUAACAAGACAGGAAAUCAAGCCUGUGAGUUCUGUAAGUCCACAAAGGGGGAACCGGCAGAAGUAUGGUGGUGGGCAGGAAGGCAGAGCUAUCCCGAGACACGUUCCCAAAUAAAUUAGCAAGAUCUCACUUUUCUUUGGGCCUCUCUCCCCCAGGACCUGGCUUGGGAGUUCUCUCCCUGCCAUCCUGGGACCCAGGUCUCCUUGUGGGUCUGGAUGGAAGACGGGGUGAUGGGAGUGACUUUUGGUGAGUAGAAGCGUCUCCUUUAGGUCAUUACAGAGAUAUUUUGUUUAUUUUUAUUAUUAAAUUUUUGUUACAGAGAUGUUGAGCGGAGGAUCAUUUCCUCAAAGGCAGGAGUGAGGUAGAGGAUACUUCCACAGACAAAGGAGAUUUGAAGGAAUCAGCAGGAUUAGGGUGCUUACCCACCUCCAUCCAAAUGUGCCCCUGAGCAGACUUCAGCUCACCAAGCGAGGUGCUGGAAUCCUCGUCACAGAAUGGCUGCACAGCAGCCCAGAGAUUUUCUCUCCAGGGAGGAGUCUGAGCAGAAGCUCAGCUCUUGUUCAGGGAUGCCAGGAAGUCAUCACGGGGUGUUAGACAACAUGUCAGGGCUCUUGCUGGCCUGGCUGUCAGGGCGCCUGGGCUCAGUCCAGGCUCUGUUCUAACUCUGUGGUGCCUUCAGUAGGCCACUGCUCCCUCCUGGGACUGUGUCCCUCCCUCAUCUCUCACAGGAGGAAGACCUGCAGCAGCGUCCUCAAACUCGUAUGAAAACCACAGAACCAUUUCCUCAAGUAAAUGUCAUAUCUAAACUCAAUAUACAUGUGGCUGGGCUACUUUUUAAAUAAUACUUUUGUUUUGCUUUUGGCAUUUUCUUUCUUGUCUUUUUGCAUCAAGGAUCCAGGUUCUUAGUAUGUCCUAGAUACAGAGAUAUUUUUUCGGCUCCAGAUCAGAAGCUGCGUGUCCUCACUGCUCUACCCUCAUGAAGGUACCCACAGUCAUGAAGAGACUGUGUUGCUGCCUGCUUUGUGCACAACAAGGUGGGAAAGGCCAUGCCUGUGAGGGUUACAUGAUCCCAGAAUUCAGGACAAUCUGACCAGCCUGGACAAGGAAGGAGACUUGGGGAAAUUCUGAUGAAAGUCCUUUGGGCUGACAGGAAGCUCGGGAUCUUGGUGAAGACCUGGAGGGGUUCCAUUUUCCAUCCAAAGGAGGCAAGGCCCUGGGUGGCAUUGUUACACGGGAGGGGCCCCCAGAGCCCCCUUC